CUGGGAAGCUCAAGACCUGAUUUAAAGAGACAGACUCCGGAGCAUUCCUAGUCUCCUAGUCUUGGCAUGAAUUAUUCAGGUUGGAGAAGCUGACAUUUGAUCUCCCGGCCAUUCGAGUAUCUUGCUUGGCAGAGCUGGUUGGGAUGGAGCCUCUCCUCUCCACAAGAAUCAGUGCUCCAAAAAUGAGUGACCAGAACUGUCUGCUUCCUUGGCCUUACUGCAUGGAGACCUGCCUUCAGCCCUUAAGGGAUUGCAGCCCACUGUCAAGGCCCGUGCUCCCUCUCAGGUUUUCAUGGCGGCUGACUUCUGGUUGCUGCUCACUGCUUCCCCUGCAAGGUAAAGGGCCUUCAGGGCAGCAGGCAACCUUCAUUAAUUGGUGCUAAACCCCUCAGUUGGGGAAGAGAAGCCUAAGAAGAACCUACGGUCGUUGAGCAAGGGGAUCCAUAUUCUCUGUGCUCUCUGGAAGAAGAGCCCUCUCUCUGGGAGUUGUGUACAGUAGGUGUUUUAAUAAAUGUCUGUCUCCUC